CUAUAGAUAUUGAUGAAGACAGAGAAACAGAAAGAAUUUAUUCCCUUUUUACCUACAGUUUACUUAAGCUGCAGAAGAUGGAAGAGGCUUGUGGGACGAUAGCAAUGUAUCAGGGGCCACAGAAAGAGCCCGAUGAUUAUUCUAACUUUGUGAUCGAGGACUCUGUGACAACCUUUAAGACAAUUCAGCAAAUAAAAAGCAUCAUAGAGAAGCUGGAUGAACCUCAUGAAAAGUACAGGAAGAAAAGAUCAAGUAGUGCAAAAUAUGGGAGCAAGGAAAAUCCAAUUGUUGGGAAAACAUCGUAGGAUUUGAGCAAUUGAUUCAGAAGAACUGGAAAAUAUUUUUCUUGGAGUUUUUCAAUUCAUCAUAUAUUUUGUCCAUAGUAUUUAAGAAUGAACAUUGGCUUCAGGGUCACCUGCAUUCACAUAUUUAAUAUUUAAUAAUUGAAAUUAACUGUGGGAAUCCUGGUAUUGACACAUAACUAGAGAAUUUGAAACCCAAGGUUCUCUUCGUAUCUUGUGUGUCCAAAUUCAUGUUUCCGCAACUUCUUUUUAAUAGAAACAGUCUUCCUAAAGAAGAUUCCUGAAGAAGCUGUUGAACAAAAGGAGAAGUCCUGCGUAGCGAGAAACCACCUCUUGUAACCACACUCUGUUCUGUGGACUUGUCUUCACUACCAUUAGUGCCUGCUCUAUACUGCCAACAUGACGUUUUUCUAGAAAAAUCUCUCUCACUCCAUGACAAUUCAGAGCUUCCCAUUUAGUUCAUCUCGACCCUCCCCCUUUAAACAGAAAAGAAUUCUUCUUCCCCUUUGGUCCAUUCGCCAGUACAGAUGACGUUAGAGGCAGCAGCAGAAACGAGAGAACUGCCAGCGCGCCCUGGGGAGUCGGUGUGUCCUUUGCCUAGUUAAAGCUGUAAACAGAACUCGGACAGGAGGAGUCAGGGAAUCCGUGCUGUUGCGUGCGUCUGGUUUACAUUUGGGAUGAGUGAUGGCCAAUGAAAUAAAGUGAGACCACUAAAAAAAUUUUUUUAAUUGUUUUAAAUAUCAGGUACUCAUGUUCUUGAUUUGAGAGUUCAGAUUAACCUGACUUCGAAGGACAGCUCUUCUGAAAAAGAAGAGAAAGUAAACAGUGAAAAGGUGGUGGGGACUCCCUCGGCCUCACCUGCUCUUUCAUGUUGUAACAGGACCGCCCCGAGGACGCCCCCCUCCUCCUCGCGGUGUUAGGUGGAGAUCUAACUCAAGAACAGUCACUUGGCGCACUUUAAUAAUCUGGACUGCCCCAGAUUAUACUUUGGAUACUCCAUGGUAUCUAAUCUUGAUGAUCAGUUGAAUGAUCAGUGUUUAAGUCUGGAAAUAAUGCUUUUCUGAAAAUGUUUAUAUCUCCUUGCCGUUUCCCUAUUGCCUGCUAGCCAAAUUAAUUUUGGGCAAGCAACUCUUUGAAUCAUACUUUUCCCUAAUAAUUCACUUCUGUCCUGAAACCCUAACUGUAAAUAAGCAGUCGAAGCAAGUUGCCACCUUGAAGUGAAGAGGGAUACACUUUGCUUCAUCAGUAUUAAAGAACAUGGUACUCUUUGUUUUAUCUUUUUUAAUUCAGAGCAUUUUCUAAAUGUACUACUAUGAACCCUGGAGUAUUUACAUAUGUUUUUGUUUCAAACUGUGACUUAUUCAUGUAAGUCUAGCUAGCAGUGCUUUCUGUGUGUGUGUUCCUGAGCAUAAGCUAUGUUUCAAGAUACACUUUGCCGAUUAUGUUGUUGAUGGGCAAUUGUCUUUAAAUUAUAGUAUUACUAGGUGUUGAUUUUAAAGGUCACUGGUACAGAGUUGUCCCACAGUGAUUGGAAAUGAGCGGUGAAUUUCUGAGAGCGGCCUGUGGAAAUGGAUCAGCUGUGGCCUGAGAAUCAGGACUUGUCCGCAUCGUGGGAGAUGUCUAACAUCCUGGCUCAUGUUAAAGACCAGGUUAAAAGAAUCUUUUCCAUUUUUGAGCUUGUAGAUUCAAGUCCACCGAUUGUAAAUGUGAAAGAACUUAGCCCUUCAAUAAAUUUCUCAUUCUUCAGUUUCAUCUAGAUUACAGUUCCUUGUAAGGGUCUCUGCCGUGAGUGUGGCCGGGUACCACUCGUUCUCCAGUGGCUUUCAGUGCUCUGCUUUUUAUAUUUCAAGGCAGAAGUAGCACUCUUCUAACAUUGCUAGUGUCAGAUCCCCCAAACAAACUGAUCGUUCUUAAAGAUGAUGAUCAAGAGGUCUAAGGCUGUGGGCACACACGACUCUGGAUUUAAAGGGGAGAAUAUUUGUCACCUCGUUAUUUUCUUCACAUGAGUUUUCAGACAGCCGGCUUGACUGGAAGUAGCAGGCAUGGCACAGCCAGAAAAAAGAAGUAAUGUGAAAUGUGAUUCAUUUUCUCCCCAAGUCUUUUGGAAGAGGAGACUGUGUCCAUAGGGCGCCCGUGACCAAGGGCCUCGCUCCCAGGGGCCUCACUUCUCUGCCAGGACUCGAGCACGUGGGUUUCUCCUGUCUGUUCUGCUUUCUCUGCCUUUUCCACAUUUGAAGAGAUACAUGGCAGCUCAUUCCAUCCUAAACACCAGAAGACCCUAGGGAAGAGGGAAGGAUGAUGCAGGGGACUCGCUGGAACCUUCCUUAGCCGUUUCGGCCCGUUGAACUGUGGCGAUCUAGUGCUUGUUUUUUUGUUGGGUUUUUUUGUGUGUUUUUUUUAAGCUGUUUUUACUAUUCAUUUAAUAAGAUGAUGGGCAACAGAAAAGAUCUUUUUACUCCCAGGAAUAUAAUUUAUCAAAUUGAACUAUUUUAUUUGCCAAAGAAAUAUGUUUUUAAUCAUCACGGGUAACGUUUUUAUUAUCACACAGGAGAAGGUGAUGGAUGAUGUGGCUUUUGUUUGUUUCUGAGGCUGCAUUCGUUUAUCAGAAUGGCUCAUUUGUGCUAGGUAUUGAAAAACCUUUUUUUUUUUUUUCAGCGAAAGCACCUUUAAUUUGCUCUAACGGUACAGCCUACACAGACAAAAUUCCGCCUAGCCUUUUAGGUGUCCUUACAGUAUGUGAAGAAUACAAGACUCAUUCUAGAGUUAAAUUACCAGUCUUGAUUGAUACUAUCUGCUUCCAUUUUUAUGAACUAGGAAAUUAAUGUGUUGCUAGUAAAUAUUGGUUUUUACAGUGUCCAUUUGGAAAAAUGUAAGUUAUCAAAACUUAAUGUAGUGAAUUUGUGUAACCGUGUUGUAUUGUUGAGAAUGUAUUUUUAUUUAAAUUUUAUUUUCUUAUCAAGAGUAUUAUAAAAAUUAAAAACUUUUGUAACCAUCGCUUGGAAAUAACUCAAAUAAAUUACAACAGGCCUGUCUAUUCCU